rnacentral:rRNA from 1 species
AUGAACGCUAGCGACAGGCUUAACACAUGCAAGUCGAGGGGCAGCGGGGGUAGCAAUACCCGCCGGCGACCGGCGCACGGGUGAGUAACGCGUAUGCAACUUACCUAUCAGAGGGGGAUAACCCGGCGAAAGUCGGACUAAUACCGCAUGAAGCAGGGAUCCCGCAUGGGAAUAUUUGCUAAAGAUUCAUCGCUGAUAGAUAGGCAUGCGUUCCAUUAGGCAGUUGGCGGGGUAACGGCCCACCAAACCGACGAUGGAUAGGGGUUCUGAGAGGAAGGUCCCCCACAUUGGUACUGAGACACGGACCAAACUCCUACGGGAGGCAGCAGUGAGGAAUAUUGGUCAAUGGCCGAGAGGCUGAACCAGCCAAGUCGCGUGAGGGAUGAAGGUUCUAUGGAUCGUAAACCUCUUUUAUAAGGGAAUAAAGUGCGGGACGUGUCCCGUUUUGUAUGUACCUUAUGAAUAAGGAUCGGCUAACUCCGUGCCAGCAGCCGCGGUAAUACGGAGGAUCCGAGCGUUAUCCGGAUUUAUUGGGUUUAAAGGGUGCGUAGGCGGCCUUUUAAGUCAGCGGUGAAAGUCUGUGGCUCAACCAUAGAAUUGCCGUUGAAACUGGGGGGCUUGAGUAUGUUUGAGGCAGGCGGAAUGCGUGGUGUAGCGGUGAAAUGCAUAGAUAUCACGCAGAACCCCGAUUGCGAAGGCAGCCUGCCAAGCCAUGACUGACGCUGAUGCACGAAAGCGUGGGGAUCAAACAGGAUUAGAUACCCUGGUAGUCCACGCAGUAAACGAUGAUCACUAGCUGUUUGCGAUACACUGUAAGCGGCACAGCGAAAGCGUUAAGUGAUCCACCUGGGGAGUACGCCGGCAACGGUGAAACUCAAAGGAAUUGACGGGGGCCCGCACAAGCGGAGGAACAUGUGGUUUAAUUCGAUGAUACGCGAGGAACCUUACCCGGGUUUGAACGCAUUCGGACCGAGGUGGAAACACCUUUUCUAGCAAUAGCCGUUUGCGAGGUGCUGCAUGGUUGUCGUCAGCUCGUGCCGUGAGGUGUCGGCUUAAGUGCCAUAACGAGCGCAACCCUUGCCACUAGUUACUAACAGGUAAAGCUGAGGACUCUGGUGGGACUGCCAGCGUAAGCUGCGAGGAAGGCGGGGAUGACGUCAAAUCAGCACGGCCCUUACAUCCGGGGCGACACACGUGUUACAAUGGCGUGGACAAAGGGAGGCCACCUGGCGACAGGGAGCGAAUCCCCAAACCACGUCUCAGUUCGGAUCGGAGUCUGCAACCCGACUCCGUGAAGCUGGAUUCGCUAGUAAUCGCGCAUCAGCCAUGGCGCGGUGAAUACGUUCCCGGGCCUUGUACACACCGCCCGUCAAGCCAUGGGAGCCGGGGGUACCUGAAGUCCGUAACCGCGAGGAUCGGCCUAGGGUAAAACUGGUGACUGGGGCU